GAGGCACCGAUAUAAUUCUGGGAGGAAACCCAAAAGUAUGUGUGCUUGAUAGAUCCUCAGUUUUUGCCCAAUGCUAUUUAGUUAAAAUAUUUCCUGGCCCCUUUCUUAUAGGAUGAUGCUCGCCAAAGAAAUUGUAGAUGACAGCUUGCUUUCUUUUUUAACGCGAGAAGCUCCUGAUGUUGAAGUCGAUGGCCAAAAAAACUUUCAAAAGGUAAUGUCAAAGAUAAAGGUUGGGUCAACAUCAUUAGCUCUGCUAGCAAAGACUGCACUAAUGGCUAAAUAUGUUGGUAAAAGUAAGGGUAAAAGCUGGACUUUUCAGGAUGCAAAAUCAAUGAUUUCAGAGUCUGUGGAAAUGAGCCAGUCAAUGAAUCUUAAAGAGCUGGAGAAACUUGCUAAUGAGGAGUCUGAAAUGUACCCUCUUGGCCCAACUAUUGCACUCACUUAUCUAUCAGUUUUGAAGGAUUGUGAAGUGCAUUGUUUGCAUGAAGGGUCUGAAGUCAAAAGGCUUGGGGGGCUCCACGUCAUUGGCACAUCUUUACAUGAGUCUCGGAGAAUAGAUAACCAGCUCCGUGGAAGAGCAGGAAGGCAGGGGGAUCCUGGAUCUACACGAUUUAUGUUCACAGGAUGAAAUGUUUGAAAAGUUCAAUUUUGAUACUGAGUGGGCAGUGAAACUUAUCUCAAGGAUUACUAAUGAUGAAGAUAUACCAAUUGAAGGUGAUGCGAUUGUAAAACAGCUUUUAGCACUGCAAAUAAAUGCGGAGAAGUACUUCUUUGGCAUAAGAAAAAGCCUGGUUGAGUUUGAUGAAGUAUUAGAGGUACAAAGGAAACAUGUGUAUGACCUUAGGCAAUUGAUUUUAACAGGUGACAAUGAAAGUUGUUCCCAAAACAUAUCACAGUGAGUACACUUCAGUGACUAUCUUUGGUUAUUAUCUUUUUAUCAUGUGUUAAAGCUUCUUAGUUUAUUUUAUAGAUAUAAAACAUGCAUUUGUAUCUAUUAUAUAUAUAUAUAUAUAUAUAUAUAUAUAUAUUAAACUUCCAGUGAUAUUGAAAUAAUUGAAAGUUUUGUAAAUUUGAGAUACACUUUACUUGGGUGUGCACUUUUUUUGCGCCUUGCUCCUUAGGCGAGUGCACAUUUAGCCUUUGAUUACCGUGGCUCACACUGUUGGCAUACCAGUGCAAUCAUGUAGACUCGGUAUUCCAUGGUGAAAUAUGAGAGGAAAUGGAUGUGAGUAAUUUCCCGUCAUAUCCCCUCUUCAAAUACUACAUUAUACUGAGGUAAGCAAGUUAAUUAUUUUGCGUAGAAAGACAGUGAACAACGGAAAAUUUUACAGAAAUGAAGAAAUAAUGAGAACAAUGCAUUUUGUGUUAUUUUAUUGUCAAGGGUUCCAGCAUUUGUAAUGUUAGAUUUGGGAUUGGGAAGUCUGAUGCCACAUUGAGUAAUGUUACCUGAAUUAAAUAAUAUAGAUAAAUGGUAUGAAAACAUCAAUAAGCGUCUUUGUUUCAGUUAUGCACUUUCUGUUUUCUGUUAUCAUAUGCUGUUAAAUUCUGCAUAAAGUUUAUAUAUUCUUGUGUAUGUUCCUCAUUCUGUGUAAAAUGCUGUUUUCUAGUUUUGGAAUUUUUUAUUGGCAUUUAGCAUUGAAAGAAAGCUGCCUCUUA